rnacentral:misc_RNA from 1 species
GAAUGUACUUCGCUCCCGGUGAGACCCCUCAGUCUCCUCCCACAAGGGUGGGCGUCUGUCGUCCGAUCCCUCGUGGGUUUUUCCUGGUUCCUGUGCUGUGUACCCGUGGAAUGGUAGUUCGGAGUCCCGUUGUCCCUAUCCGCCGGAUGCCUCCCCAGGGCUCCCGGCGGAACUCUUGGCGUGGCCCUGUGUUCCCGGCACUCUCUGCACCUAGUGGUGCUGCCGUGGUCACAUGGUGCUCUCGCCUGUCCCAUCGGAUGUGGAAGAAUCGCGUGGGCUCGGGGUGUCGGUCCCUAAUCUGUCCAUACAAAGCGUUUUGUCGCUCGACAUGCCUGACGUCCUCGCGGUGCCGCGCCCUCCCCCGUCCCCAUGUGGGCUGGUCGGGAGACGGCUCGUGCGUCGCGGGCGUCGUAGAGGAAUGCUACCUGGUUGAUCCUGCCAGUAGUCAUAUGCUUGGCUCAAAGAAUAAGCCAUGCAUGUGUAAAUAUGAACCAAUUCCGAAU